CUAGCGCGACACAAAUGUACCAAACGUGCAGACGUUUUUCGCAAUCGGGUCUCAUCUCUUCAUAAUUUCGUUAAAAUUAAACAAUAGCACGUUUUUUGUUUUGUUUUUCUCACUAGCAACAAAUACAAUUUGAGAAGUUUUAAGGUGAUUCAUCAUUUCUAAAAGGUGUCUGUGGAGCUAUGAAUUUUUCUGACGGAAUUCUGUUCCAUAGAGACAAUCAAUGAAGUAUGGAACUCCGGGAGGAAAAAAAAGAACAGUUAUAAAAUUAACGAUCAAUACAGAGAAAAAGGAAAAGUCUAGAAAAUUCAUCUCACCAGCAUUUUUUUAAUGAAAGUCCGCAUAAAGGAACUGGAGGGCGAGCAGAGUACUGAGCUCCCUCUUUCUUCGGGCAGGAGAAAUAACGAAAUUGCGGAAAACUGCACUGCAUACUUAAAUAAAUGGCCGAAUAGUCAACUUUUGGUACAUCUGCAACAUAGAGCACCUAGU